CCUACGGGAGACAGCAGUGGGGAAUAUUGGGCAAUGGGCGCAAGUCUGACCCAGCAACGCCGCGUGAAGGAAGAAGGCUUUCGGGUUGUAAACUUCUUUUCUCAGGGACGAAGCAAGUGACGGUACCUGAGUAAUAAGCCACGGCUAACUACGUGCCAGCAGCCGCGGUAAUACGUAGGUGGCAAGCGUUAUCCGGAUUUACUGGGUGUAAAGGGUGUGUAGGCGGGGACGCAAGUCAGAUGUGAAAACCAUGGGCUCAACCUGUGGCCUGCAUUUGAAACUUUGUAGCUUGAGUACUGGAGAGGCAGACGGAAUUCCUAGUGUAGCGGUGAAAUGCGUAGAUAUUAGGAAGAACACCAGUGGCGAAGGCGGCUUGCUGGACUGAAACUGACGCUGAGGCACGAAAGCGUGGGGAGCGAACAGGAUUAGAUACCCCUGUAGUC
rnacentral:rRNA from 1 species